rnacentral:rRNA from 1 species
UGGGGGAAUAUUGGGCAAUGGGCGAAAGCCUGACCCAGCAACGCCGCGUGAGGGAAGAAGGGUUUCGGCUCGUAAACCUCUGUCCUAUGGGACGAAGGAAGUGACGGUACCAUAGGAGGAAGCCCCGGCUAACUACGUGCCAGCAGCCGCGGUAAUACGUAGGGGGCGAGCGUUGUCCGGAAUGAUUGGGCGUAAAGGGCGCGUAGGCGGCCUGAUAAGUCUGGAGUGAAAGUCCUGCUUUCAAGGUGGGAAUUGCUUUGGAUACUGUUGGGCUGGAGUGCAGGAGAGGAAAGCGGAAUUACCGGUGUAGCGGUGAAAUGCGUAGAGAUCGGGUAGAACACCGGUGGCGAAGGCGAGUAUCUGGCUGUAAAUUGACGCUGAGGCACGAAAGCAUGGGGAUCAAACAGGAUUAGAUACCCUGGUAGU